UUACGGCCAUAUCGCGUUGAAACAUCGGUUCUCGAACAAUCACCGUAGUUAAGCAACAUCGAGCCUGGUUAGUACCAUGAUAAGUGACCGCUUAUGAAUACCGAGCGC